rnacentral:rRNA from 1 species
UACGAUGAAGAGUUUGAUCCUGGCUCAGGAUGAACGCUAGCGGCAGGCCUAACACAUGCAAGUCGAGGGGUAGAGGAAGCUUGCUUCCUUGAGACCGGCGCACGGGUGCGUAACGCGUAUGCAAUCUACCUUUUACAGAGGGAUAGCCCAGAGAAAUUUGGAUUAAUACCUCAUAGUAUAUAUCAUUCGCAUGUUUGGUAUAUUAAAGUUCCAAC